AGUGAACGCUGGCGGUAGGCCUAACACAUGCAAGUCGAACGGCAGCACAGUAAGAGCUUGCUCUUACGGGUGGCGAGUGGCGGACGGGUGAGGAAUACAUCGGAAUCUACUUUUUCGUGGGGGAUAACGUAGGGAAACUUACGCUAAUACCGCAUACGACCUACGGGUGAAAGCAUGGGAUCUUCGGACCUUGCGCGAUUGAAUGAGCCGAUGUCGGAUUAGCUAGUUGGCGGGGUAAAUGCCCACCAAGGCGACGAUCCGUAGCUGGUCUGAGAGGCUGGUCAGCCACACUGGAACUGAGACACGGUCCAGACUCCCACGGGAGGCAGCAGUGGGGAAUAUUGGACAAUGGGCGCAAGCCUGUUCCAGUCAUACCGCGUGGGUGAAGAAGGCCUUCGGGUUGUAAAGCCCUUUUGUUGGGAAAGAAAAGCAGCAGGUUAAUACCCCGCUGUUCUGACGGUACCCAAAGAAUAAGCACCGGCUAACUUCGUG
rnacentral:rRNA from 1 species